rnacentral:rRNA from 1 species
GAGUUUGAUCCUGGCUCAGGAUGAACGCUAGCGGCAGGCCUAAUACAUGCAAGACGAACGGUAAGUUGAGUAGCAAUACUUGACCAAGAGUGUCGUAAGGGUGCGUAACACGUAUGCAAUCUGCCCUCAACAGGAGGAUAGCUCCCCGAAAGGGGAAUUAAUACUGCGUAAGAUUGUAGUUCGGCAUCGGACAGCAAUUAAAACCGAGGUGGUUGAGGAUGAGCAUGCGCAUGAUUAGUUAGUUGGCGGGGUAACGGCCCACCAAGACGAUGAUCAUUAGGGGAACUGAGAGGUUGAUCCCCCACACUGGCACUGAGAUACGGGCCAGACUCCUACGGGAGGCAGCAGUAGGGAAUAUUGGACAAUGGGUGCGAGCCUGAUCCAGCCAUGCCGCGUGCAGGAAGACGGCCUUCUGGGUUGUAAACUGCUUUUGCCAGGGGAUAAAAAGUCCCUGCGGGGAAAAUUGAAGGUACCUGGUGAAUAAGCCACGGCUAACUACGUGCCAGCAGCCG